UACGGAGGGGGCUAGCGUUGUUCGGAAUUACUGGGCGUAAAGCGCUCGUAGGCGGCUUUGCAAGUUAGCGGUGAAAGCCCAGGGCUUAACCCUGGAAUUGCCUUUAAGACUGCAUCGCUAGAAUCGUGGAGAGGUGAGUGGAAUUCCGAGUGUAGAGGUGAAAUUCGUAGAUAUUCGGAAGAACACCAGUGGCGAAGGCGACUCACUGGAUCGGUACUGACGCUGAGGUGCGAAAGCGUGGGGAGCAAACAGG
rnacentral:rRNA from 1 species